rnacentral:misc_RNA from 1 species
GAAAUGCGAUAAGUAAUGUGAAUUGCAGAAUUCAGUGAAUCAUCGAAUCUUUGAACGCACAUUGCGCCCGCCAGUAUUCUGGCGGGCAUGCCUGUCCGAGCGUCAUUUCAACCAUCAAGCCCCCGGGCUUGUGUUGGGGACCUGCGGCUGCCCGCAGGCCCUGAAAACCAGUGGUGGGCUCGCUGUCACACCGAGCGUAGUAGCAAUCACCUCGCUCAGGGCGUGCUGCGGGUUCCGGCCGUUAAACAGCCUUACAAAACCCAAGGUUGACCUCGGAUCAGGUAGGAAGACCCGCUGAACUUAAGC